GAAUAACAGAGCGAGAACUCACUCAUUAAUCCCACCACCCAAGGAGAGCAUUAAUCCAUUCAUGAGGGAUCCACCUCCAUGACUCAAACAGCUCCCAGCACUGCCACACUGGGGAUCACAUUUCCAUGAGCUUUGGAGGGGACAACACAUCGAAAGUCUGUCAGCCAUUGCCCUUGCAUGGAAUGCCAUAUAGUCAUAGAAUGGUGGAGCUGGAAGAGAAGUUGGAGAUUACCUAACCCAAUUCCUGAUUUUGUGAAUGAAGAUCCUGAGGUCCUGGAGUUCAUGAAGUAAAUUUUGAUAGAAGCAGGGACUCUGAUCUGCUACUUUCCAGUUCCGUGUUUUUUCCAUCACCUCAUUUAUUCCUCUUCUUUUCUUCUGGUCUUGCAUAUUGAAAUUCUACCUAUUCUUUAAGAUCUAAGAUACAUGGCACCUCUUCCGGGAUGUUCAACCAGCAGAGACCUAUCACUCAGUCUGUAACUUGCUGGGAUGUUUGUGAUCCUCAGCUCCCUUCUUAGAUUUUAAACAGGUUGCAGGAAAGAUGAAGGAAUUUAACUGACUUUACCAAGGUCACCAGCAAAACAGUGAUGAGAAACUUGAGAGUAAAUCCUUUCUGCUUCCAAAUAUUUUGAAAGUUGGCUCAAGAAAAAAAAAAAAAAAAGUAUGAUGAAAGAGCACUUCUGGGAAUGAAAAAGAUAAACCUUGUCUCUCAAUGCCUAGAGGUCUGUGCUAGUUCCAAAGAUAAAACUUUUAUUUUUGGCACAGAGCUCGAAUUAAUCUUCACUUU